CCUACGGGAGGCAGCAGUAGGGAAUCUUCCACAAUGGGCGAAAGCCUGAUGGAGCAACGCCGCGUGGAUGAAGAAGGUCUUCGGAUCGUAAAACCCUGUUGUUAGAGAAGAAAGUGCGUGAGAGUAACUGUUCACGUUUCGACGGUAUCUAACCAGAAAGCCACGGCUAACUACGUGCCAGCAGCCGCGGUAAUACGUAGGUGGCAAGCGUUAUCCGGAUUUAUUGGGCGUAAAGGGAACGCAGGCGGUCUUUUAAGUCUGAUGUGAAAGCCUUCGGCUUAACCGGAGUAGUGCAUUGGAGACUGGGAGACGUGAGUGCAGAAGAGGAGAGUGGAACUCCAGGUGUAGCGGUGAAAUGCGUAGAUAUAUGGAAGAACACCAGUGGCGAAAGCGGCUCUCUGGUCUGUAACUGACGCUGAGGUUCGAAAGCGUGGGUAGCAAACAGGAUUAGAUACCCCUGUAGUC
rnacentral:rRNA from 1 species